GCCGAGAUGGCCGAGGUAGUCAAGGCGCGUGUCUGAAAAACACGUUAUCUGGGUGCAAUUCCUAGUCUCGGCACCG
rnacentral:tRNA from 1 species